GACGAACGCUGGCGGCGUGCUUAACACAUGCAAGUCGAACGGAAAGGCCCCUUUGGGGGUACUCGAGUGGCGAACGGGUGAGUAACACGUGCGUAACCUGCCCUUGACUUCGGGAUAACUUCAGGAAACUGGGGCUAAUACCGGAUAGGAAUCCUUGCUGCAUGGUGGGGGUUGGAAAGCUUCGGCGGUUGUGGAUGGACUCGCGGCUUAUCAGCUUGUUGGUGGGGUAGUGGCUUACCAAGGCUUUGACGGGUAGCCGGCCUGAGAGGGCGACCGGCCACAUUGGGACUGAGAUACGGCCCAGACUCCUACGGGAGGCAGCAGUGGGGAAUAUUGCACAAUGGGCGGAAGCCUGAUGCAGCAACGCCGCGUGCGGGAUGACGGCCUUCGGGUUGUAAACCGCUUUCAGCAGGGGCGAAGCUUGUGGUGACGGUACCUGCAGAAGAAGCACCGGCUAACUACGUG
rnacentral:rRNA from 1 species